UACGUAGGGGGCAAGCGUUGUCCGGAUUCAUUGGGCGUAAAGAGCGUGUAGGCGGCCAGGUAGGUCGGUUGUGAAAACUGGAGGCUCAACCUUCAGAGGUCGACCGAAACCAUCUGGCUAGAGUCCGGGAGAGGAGAGUGGAAUUCCUGGUGUAGCGGUGAAAUGCGUAGAGAUCGGGAGGAACACCAGAGGCGAAGGCGGCGACCUGGACAGAUACUGACACUCAACUACGAAAGCGUGGGGAGCAAACAGG
rnacentral:rRNA from 1 species